rnacentral:rRNA from 1 species
AUUGAACGCUGGCGGAAUGCUUGACACAUGCAAGUCGAACGGCAGCACGGACUUCGUUCUGGUGGCCGGUGGCGAACGGGUGAGUGAUGAAUCGGAACGUGCCCAGUCGUGGGGGAUCACGGAAUGAACAUUACGCUAAUACCGCAUACGAACUCUGGAUGAAGUCGGGGGAUCGCAAGACCUGCCACGGUUGGAGCGGCCGACGUCAGAUUAGGUAGGUGGUGGGGUAAAGGCCCACCAAGCCAACGAUCUGUAGCUGGUCUGAGAGGACGACCAGCCACACUGGAACUGAGACACGGUCCAGACUCCUACGGGAGGCAGCAGCGGGGAAUUUUGGACAAUGGGCGAAAGCCUGAUCCAGCCAUUCCGCGUGCAGGAUGAAGGCCCUCGGGUUGUAAACUGCUUUUAUACAGAACGAAGAGGUUUCUACUAAUACUAGGAGCUCAUGACGGUACUGUAAGAAUAAGCACCGGCUAACUACGUGCCAGCCGCCGCGGUAA